AAGAGAGAGGGAAGAGUGAAAGGGACGUUGUAGAUUAUGGGAGAAGAAAAAGACAGCUGGGAUGAACCACAAGAUAAGUAUAAUUAAGGCUGAGAAAUAGAAAAAUAAAGAAAAAAAAAGAAAAAAAAAAGAGGGAAAUAGGGAAUUCGGUCGAGGAAGAAGGGAGGAGGAGUGGACCGAAGAGGAAGACCAGAUUCAGGCGAAUUGGAAGAGAAUUGUUGCUGAGUUGAGGACGAUGGAUGUAAC
rnacentral:lncRNA from 1 species